rnacentral:lncRNA from 1 species
UUUGAAUUUCAUUAUAUAUCGCUGAUCAAAUAUCUCCACAACUUCUUCUUUAAUAAGAGAUAGAGAAUGAUCCAAUGAUUAGAGUUUUAAAAAGUACACUAACUACAGUAAGGGUUCAUGAUUACUACAUUGUUGAAUACGAUCAAGCAGUCUGGAAGACUGUCGAGUGUUGCUUUGGAGGAGAUUUCUACCCAGGAUUAUCUUGAAAUGUCAGACUCUCUGGAACUACUAGACUCAGCAUAAACAACAGGAGUUGGUUUUACUCUGUGGGACUCCACUUUACAAUGGGUCUUCCUUUCCCUGCCCAAACUCCAGAGCUCGAGUUUCGCUCUUGUCGCCCAGGCUGGAGUGCAGUGGCGCGAUCUUGGCUGACUGCAACCUCCACCUCCCAGGUUCAAGCGAUUCUCCUGCCUCAGUCUCCAGAGUAGCUGGGACUACAGAAAAAUACAUAGCAGCUUGGAUUGCUGGCAAGAUGGUCAACUAGGAAAAGCUCUGGUCUGCAGCUUCCAGCGAGAUUGACACAGAAGAGUCUUGCUUUGCCGCCCAGGCUGGAAUGCAGUGGUGUGAUCUCAGCUCACUUCAGCCUCCAUCUCCCAGGUUCAAGCAAUUCUCCUGCCUCAGCCUCCUGAGUAUCUGGGAUUACAGGUGCCCACCACCAUGCCCACUUAAUUUUUCUAUUUUUAGUAGAGAUCAGGUUUCACCAUGUUGGCCAGGCUGGUUUCAAACUCCUGACCUCAGGUGAUCUGCCUGCCUCGGCCUCCCUAAGUUCUGGGAUUACAGGUGUCAGUCCUCGUACCCGGCCAACAUAUGGGUUUCAACUCCAAUUUAAUGACUUCAUAUUCAUGAGAAUUUGAACAUGUAACUUGAAUUUAAUUUUCACUACGGGAAAAUAGUGCUGUUGAUAGUUACUUUAUUAUUUAAUUAUAAGUAAAUGAGAAAAUGUAAAAGAACCUGGAAUAACAGGUUUUUCUUAGAUGUUAAAAUUAUUCUUUUCUCAAUUAUUUUCUCUUCUAAUUAAUUAUCUACAUUAUUUCAAACAAAUUUGUAGUCAUCUCCAAUGUAUCUGUCUCAAUCUCCCUUUCCACCUUUUGUUUCCCACUCCUCAGUAAUGAUGAAAGCAUGCCGAUUUAAUCUCCAAUUAUCUAAAUUCUUUCUUUACUUCCUUCUUUCUGUCACAGUAACUUUGAAAGUCAUUUUAUUAAUAAUGGGGGAUAAAAUAUAGCAUCAGAUUGAAGAGAUAUUGAUAAUAUGAAAGCCUAAUAUUUAAUAAUUAAAUGUGAGUUCAGUAAUGUAAAUUUUUUUAAUGGAUUGGGUAGAGGAAGUGUUGAUGUAUUUAGAAUCAGAUCUGUGCUAUGUGGAAUAUUUAGUAAAUACAAUUGUGGAUAUAGUUCAUUUGAUACACAUAUUUGAUAAUCAAGACAGGAUGUCCAGGUAUGCAGUAGGAUAUACAGAUUUAUAAUUUAAAAAUGAUAUCUAAAAUUCAUGGACACUAUAUGUAACAAAGAGCAUAUGAAAAAGUAAAGUCAAAAAUAAAAUUAAAUGGAAUACCAUUUUUUUAUAAUCAGUCACUGGAAUAAUUAUCAACAAUAGAGAUUAAAAUAAACUUUUUUACCCUUUCUGCAAGUUAUUAAGUUAGCUUGUCAUGGUUGCACACUUACUGGUGGAAGACAUGAGACUUCUGGCCCAGAGAGAAAGGACUUUAUUACUCAAAGCACAGAAGGUAGCAUGAGCCUUAUAUUCUCAUCAGUUUUCCUUGCCCCUAAGUCCGGUGAGGGUGAUAUGGAAGCCAUACCCAGAUGUAUGCCACAAAAUUUCCAUGCAUGGGUGAAAAGACAAAAAACUGCAGUAGAUAUAAAGGGAAACUUAGUAACAAAAGGCACUCGUUUUAGAUACAUGCAAAAACAUGAAUGAAUCUUAAAAACAUUGUCUAAGUGACAGAAGCCAGACAUAAAAUAUGUUAUAAUGUAUGAUUCCAUUAAUGUGACAUGCUAGAAGGCAAAACUAGUGAGGGAAAACAGAUUAGUGAUUUUGAGGUACGGUGGUUGGAGGUGGCACACUGAUUGCAAAGUGUCAGGAGUGUUGGGGGUGAUUAAAGUAUUCCAUAACAUAAAUAGGAUGGCACUUAUAUCAAGGUUUUUCUUUGCCAGAGUUCAAACAUAGCAUUUUUAUAAUUUGUAGAUUUUGUUGUAUGUAUAUGUUUUCAGUUGAAUUGGCUUUCCAAAAAGAGAUGUUAGAAGCUCUAACCUCUGGUACCUGUGAAUGUGACAUUAUUUGCAAAUAAUAUAUUUGUAGAUAUGAUCAAGCUAAGAUGAGUUUAUACUAGAUUAGGGUGACCAAUGACUGGUGUCCUUAUAAGAAGGCUAUGUGAAGACACAUGGAUACAGAGAUGACCAGGGAGAAUGUCAUGUUAUAAGAGAGAGAAAACUUGGAAUGAUGUCACUGCCAGCUAAGGAGUGCCAGAGAUUGCUCAGGAACACCAGGAGCUAGGAAAGAAAUAUGAACAAAUUUGUCGUCAAAACCUCCAGAAAGAACCAAACUUGCUGACAUCUUGAUUUCAAAUUUCCAGCCUCCAGAAAUGUGAAAGAAUAAAUUUCUCUUGUUAAGCCAUGCAGUUUGUGUUAAUCUUCGAUGGCAGUUUUAAGAAACUGGUACAAUAUAUUAUGUCUCAGUGAAGCUGAUUUUUGGCAAAUAUCAUAAAAGCAUAUUGUGAACAAUACAUGUAAACAGCAUAGUGAAGUGCUUUGCCACUAUAAUUAAUAAAAAAUAGCUUAUAUAAUUGAUAAUUAUUAGCUUAGAGAAAACAAAAAUUAAGUGGCAUAUAACCAAAUAACUUCAGCUAUUUUAAAGUUGUGUACAAAAUAAACUGAUUUUUAAAAUUAAAUCCAAAUUCAUGUAUUAGUUAGCACUGAUGUAACAAGUAGGCCCUAAAUGUGUCACACAAUAGAAAACUUCUU